AUCCUCAGCAGCUAGGGUUCCGGCUGGACAGGUUUGACACACCCGUCCGGUGUUACUGGUCCGAGAGCAGCGACCCGUUCGGUAAACAGCGAACGGGCACACGGCGGGACAAAAGCCCGGGAGGU
rnacentral:sRNA from 2 species